GUCUUCAUCUUCCAGAGAAAAAUCAUCGCUACUCUAAUCGCACGACAUGGAAGAUGAUCCAAGCUCUGUAAGCACCCUCCACAGUCGGAAGGAGGAGUAUCUACCAGAGACAAUUCUCUGAGUCUGUGAGACAUCUACAGCUUCUCUCAAACCAUGUUACGUCCAACUUCAUUGCACUAGUUCCUGCUGGCCAAACGUGAACAGAUGUACUUUUUUUGUGUCCAGGAUAGUACCGAAGGUGGAUGUGUACAGAUUGCUAACAGAACCAUGGCACUCUUGACAAGCAGACCCAGAUGUUUGGAUGCUUGUUAUCCCCGCUGCAGAAGGUUAUCCCGUUUCCAGUUCUGCCCAAGAAGCAGAUCACAGAAGUGCUGCCUACUUCAGGAGUGAGCAGAGAGGUCAAGAGCAGGAG